UACGUAGGUGGCGAGCGUUGUCCGGAAUUACUGGGCGUAAAGGAUGCGUAGGCGGAUAUGUAAGUCAGAUGUGAAAUACCCGGGCUUAACCUGGGUGCUGCAUUUGAAACUGUAUAUCUAGAGUGCAGGAGAGGAAAGCGGAAUUCCUAGUGUAGCGGUGAAAUGCGUAGAGAUUAGGAAGAACACCGGUGGCGAAGGCGGCUUUCUGGACUGUAACUGACGCUGAGGCAUGAAAGCGUGGGUAGCAAACAGG
rnacentral:rRNA from 1 species